UUCAGCAGUUUAACAAGAUGGACAGUAGAACUGUGUUACUGCUUCUAACCGUUUGCUGGGCAGGUGUUGAUGGUCAGAUUUUGACAGAAUCUGAACCGGUGGUUAAAAUCCCUGGAAAUUCACACAGACUGACCUGUACAGGCUCUGGAUUUGAUUUCAGCAGCUACAACAUGAACUGGGUCAGACAGGCUCCUGGAAAGGUACUGGAGUGGGUUGCAUUUAUCGGUAUUCGCAGUAUUAAUAUGUACUACUCUCAGUCAGUUAAAAGCCGGUUCACCAUCUCCAGAGACAACAGCAAACAGCAGGUGUAUCUGCAGAUGAACAACCUGAAAACUGAAGAUUCUGCUGUUUAUUAUUGUGCUCGAGAGCCACAGUGACGGAAUUCAGUUGAACAGCUGCACAAAAUCCUAAAGCACAUCUUUAGUUU